AUUGAACGCUGGCGGCAGGCCUAACACAUGCAAGUCGAGCGGAUGACGGGAGCUUGCUCCUUGAUUCAGCGGCGGACGGGUGAGUAAUGCCUAGGAAUCUGCCUGGUAGUGGGGGACAACGUUUCGAAAGGAGCGCUAAUACCGCAUACGUCCUACGGGAGAAAGCAGGGGACCUUCGGGCCUUGCGCUAUCAGAUGAGCCUAGGUCGGAUUAGCUAGUUGGUGGGGUAAUGGCUCACCAAGGCGACGAUCCGUAACUGGUCUGAGAGGAUGGUCAGUCACACUGGAACUGAGACACGGUCCAGACUCCUACGGGAGGCAGCAGUGGGGAAUAUUGGACAAUGGGCGAAAGCCUGAUCCAGCCAUGCCGCGUGUGUGAAGAAGGUCUUCGGAUUGUAAAGCACUUUAAGUUGGGAGGAAGGGCAGUAAGUUAAUACCUUGCUGUUUUGACGUUACCGACAGAAUAAGCACCGGCUAACUCUGUGCCAGCAGCCGCGGUAAUACAGAGGGUGCAAGCGUUAAUCGGAAUUACUGGGCGUAAAGCGCGCGUAGGUGGUUUGUUAAGUUGGAUGUGAAAGCCCCGGGCUCAACCUGGGAACUGCAUCCAAAACUGGCAAGCUAGAGUACGGUAGAGGGUGGUGGAAUUUCCUGUGUAGCGGUGAAAUGCGUAGAUAUAGGAAGGAACACCAGUGGCGAAGGCGACCACCUGGACUGAUACUGACACUGAGGUGCGAAAGCGUGGGGAGCAAACAGG
rnacentral:rRNA from 1 species